rnacentral:rRNA from 1 species
UCAGGAUGAACGCUAGCUACAGGCUAACACAUGCAAGUCGAGGGGCAGCAUUGGAGUAGCAAUACUCAGAUGGCGACCGGCGCACGGGUGAGUAACACGUAUCCAACCUGCCGCUUACUCGGGGAUAGCCUUUCGAAAGAAAGAUUAAUACCCGAUGGUAUAAAGAGUUCGCAUGUUCUCUUUAUCAAAGAAUUUCGGUAAGCGAUGGGGAUGCGUUCCAUUAGAUUGUUGGCGGGGUAACGGCCCACCAAGUCUACGAUGGAUAGGGGGUUCUGAGAGGAAGGUCCCCCACAUUGGAACUGAGACACGGUCCAAACUCCUACGGGAGGCAGCAGUGAGGAAUAUUGGUCAAUGGACGAGAGUCUGAACCAGCCAAAAGUAGCGUGAAGGAUGACUGCCCUAUGGGUUGUAAACUUUCUUUUAUAAGGGAAUAAAGUGAGGGACGUGUCCCUUUUUGUAUGUACCUUAUGAAUAAGGAUCGGCUAACUCCGUGCCAGCCGCCGC